rnacentral:rRNA from 1 species
AUGGCAGCAGGUCCGGGCAAUGCGUCGUGGACGGCGGCGAUGAGCGUGGGCGCCGUGGAGGCGCUCAAGGACCAGGCCGGCCUCUGCCGCUGGAACUACGCGCUCAGGUCCAUUCACCGAGCUGCCAAGGGCAAGUCCAACGUCCGAGCCGGCGUCUCGCAGGGCAAGAAGCAGCUGCCUGCCUCUGCGGCCGCGGGCGCCAAGCAGCUUCCGGCCUCCGCAGCGGCGGCGGCGGAGAGGCGGCGAGCGGAGAAGGCCGAGGAGGGGCUGAGGACCGUCAUGUACCUCAGCUGCUGGGGUCCCAACUAG